ACCGCGCCUCCGCCCAAUGAAAGGCUCGGGGCGGGGCGGAGGACGGCAAGGGAGGGGAUCCGGGCUGGGCAGAGGAGAAGGCGGUGUUGCUGAGCACAGAGUGAUGGCGGCGCCGCCCAAUAGACGCGUUGGUGGAGGGGUCUGCGCCCCCUUACACCGGGGUGCACAGGAAGCCACCCCAGAGGGAUCCUACAAAAACCAAGAAAACGUAUAGCUACUCUUCUAAAUCUCAGUGCCCAGCAUUGCCUACGUUUCUGCCUCCCCCAGCAACAACAAAAAAAAAACGGUUCUCCUUGACCUGAGGAAAAUUCCAUCCAGGUCUGUGAGCUGCAAUAGAUCAUCCUGAAGAAUCAAGAAUCAUCAUCACCUGAGACUGCCAAGACGAAUCCCAACAUCAAAACAACACUUGAGGGCUUCCCUGGUGACGCAGUGGUUGAGGGUCCGCCUGCCUGAUGCAGGGGAUACAGGUUCGUGCCCCGGUCCGGGAAGAUCCUACAGGCCGCGGAGUGGCUAGGCCCGUGAGCCAUGGCCACUGAGCCUGCGCGUCCGGAGCCUGUGCCCCGCAACGGGAGAGGCCACAACAGUGAGAGGCCCGCGUACCGCAAAAAAAAAAACCAAAAAACAAAAAAGCACUUGAAGCUUGUGUACCUUUUCUUUCUUUACUGUGUAUAGUGUCUUUUAUCUUUUUAAAAUUUAUUUAUUUAUUUAUUUAUUUUUGGCUCCGUUGGGUCUUCGUUGCUGCACGCGGGCUUUCUCUAGUUGCGGCAAGCGGGGUCUACUCUUCGUCGCAGUGCACGGGCUUCUCAGUGCGGUGGCUUCUCUUGUUGCAGAGCACGGGCUCUAGGUGCGCGGGCUUCAGGAGUUGUGGCUCGCGGGCUCUAGAGCGCAGGCUCAGUAGUUGUGGCACACGGGCUUAGUUGCUCCACGGCAUAUGGGAUCUUCCCAGAGCGGGGCUCGAACCCGUGUCCCCUGCAUUAGCAGGUGGAUUCUUAACAAUUGCACCACCAGGGAAGCCCAGAAAAUAAAUUUUUUAAGAGAAAAAUGUA